GUUCCCGAAACGUUUAAAAGUUCGCCUUUUUACGGUUCUUGUAUGUCGCCAUUAGGCCAUCUUAAUAUCCGAAAACGACAAGUUUUAAUACAAAUUUGAGCUGUUUCGAGCAGCCAUGUUUCUUGUUUAUUUUGAAAGACUAGAUCCCAGGCUCUCACGUAAAAACACAGGGAUAUUUUAGGAUUUUUUAGGAUAUUUGCAAUAUUUUUAGUCUUGAUAAAAAUUUGCGGGGUUAAAG